rnacentral:misc_RNA from 1 species
UGGUUCUGGCAUCGAUGAAGAACGCAGCGAAAUGCGAUAAGUAAUGUGAAUUGCAGAAUUCAGUGAAUCAUCGAAUCUUUGAACGCACAUUGCGCCCGCCAGUAUUCUGGCGGGCAUGCCUGUCUGAGCGUCAUUUCAACCCUCAUGCCCACUGUGGGCGUGGUGUUGGGGAUCGGCCAGCGCCCGCAAGGGACGGGCCGUCCCCUAAAUAUAGUGGCGGACCCGCUGUGGCCUCCCCUGCGAAGUAGUGAUAUUCCGCACCGGAGCAGCAGCGAGACCCUGCCGUGAAACCCCCAACUUUCUCAAGGUUGACCUCAGAUCAGGUAGGAAUACCCGCUGA